UUAUAGAUAUACUUCCCUUUUUAUUGUCAUAAUUAAGUUAUUUUAAUUUUUUUUUUUUUUGUUUUUCUUAAUUUUAUGAAUAUGUAAAAAUGUGUCUUUUUUUGUCAUAUAUCAUUAAAUGAAGUAUGUAUAGGUAUUCAUGAGUAUCUUUUUUUUUUAAUAAAAAAUAUUCAUCUUCUUUCCUUUUUUUUGUUUUUCUGUUUUUCUAUUUUUUUGUUUUUUUGUUUGUUUUUCUCCAAUACAUGUAAAAAUGUAUCGAUCGUUGCCUAUAAUUUUAUUUUCCUUUUUUAACUUAAUACUCGAUAUAAAUUGUUUUGUUAAAGAUUAUGAUGGCGUGAAAGACUUAAAUAAUUGCUCAAGUCUUCACUGUUCUUAUAAUAACUUAUCAGAAAUAUAUAAAAAUUCUCAAAGUAUUUUAGCAGAGUUAGAGAAUUUAUUGUACGAUGUGCGUAAUCAUAAAAGUAUGCAUCAGACAGAACAUGAAUACAAUAAAAAAUUGGAUUUUGACAUAAAAUUUCCAAAUAAAACGGAUUAUGAAGAUUUGUCAUAUUUUCCAUCAGAAGAUGAAUAUGAAAAUCUUGACCAUUAUACGGAGCCAGUUCCAUAUAUAAUUAUUGAUAAAACAGAUAAAGAUAAUUUCGAAGAAUCUAUAC